ensembl:lncRNA
GUUGAGCCACGGGACAGGGUAUGGGGUAAGUUGAGCCACGGGACAGGGUAUGGGGUAAGUUGAGCCAUGGGACAGGGUAUGGGGUAAGUUGAGCCACGGGACAGGGUAUGGGGUAGGUUGAGCCAUGGGACAGGGUAUGGGGUAAGUUGAGCCACGGGACAGGGUAUGGGGUAAGUUGAGCCACGGGACAGGGUAUGGGGUAAGUUGAGCCAUGGGACAGGGUAUGGGGUAAGUUGAGCCAUGGGACAGGGUAUGAGGUAAGUUGAGACACGGGACUGGGUAUGGAGUAAGUUGAGCCGCGGGACAGGGUAUGGGGUAAGUUGAGACACGGGACAGGGUAUGAGGUAAGUUGAGCCAUGGGACAGGGUAUGGGGUAAGUUGAGCCAUGGGACAGGGUAUGGGGUAAGUUGAGCCACGGGACAGGGUAUGGGGUAAGUUGAGACACGGGACAGGGUAUGAGGUAAGUUGAGCCAUGGGACAGGGUAUGAGGUAAGUUGAGACACGGGACAGUUGAGACACGGGACAGGGUAUGGGGUAAGUUGAGCCGCGGGACAGGGUAUGGGGUAAGUUGAGCCGCGGGACAGGGUAUGGGGUAAGUUGAGACACGGGACUGGGUAUGGGGUAAGUUGAGACACGGGACAGGGUAUGGGG